GACGAACGCUGGCGGCAGGCCUAACACAUGCAAGUCGAACGCUCGUAGCAAUACGAGAGUGGCAGACGGGUGAGUAACACGUGGGAACCUUCCCUAUGGUUCGGAAUAGCUCAGGGAAACUUGGGGUAAUACCGGAUAAGCCCUUCGGGGGAAAGGAUUUAUCGCCAUUGGAUGGGCCCGCGUCGGAUUAGCUAGUUGGUGAGGUAACGGCUCACCAAGGCAACGAUCCGUAGCUGGUCUGAGAGGAUGAUCAGCCACACUGGGACUGAGACACGGCCCAGACUCCUACGGGAGGCAGCAGUGGGGAAUAUUGGACAAUGGGCGCAAGCCUGAUCCAGCCAUGCCGCGUGAGU
rnacentral:rRNA from 1 species